rnacentral:rRNA from 1 species
UAGGGAAUAUUGCACAAUGGGCGAAAGCCUGAUGCAGCAACGCCGCGUGCGCGAUGAAGGCCUUCGGGUCGUAAAGCGCUUUUCGGGGAGAUGAGGAAGGACAGUAUCCCCGGAAUAAGUCUCGGCUAACUACGUGCCAGCAGCCGCGGUAACACGUAGGAGGCAAGCGUUAUCCGAAUUUACUGGGCGUAAAGCGCGUGCAGGCGGUUCGGUAAGUUGGAUGUGAAAUCUCCCGGCUCAACUGGGAGAGGUCGUUCAAUACUGUCGGACUAGAGGAUGGUAGAGGGAGGUGGAAUUCCCGGUGUAGUGGUGAAAUGCGUAGAUAUCGGGAGGAACACCAGUGGCGAAGGCGGCCUCCUGGACCAUUCCUGACGCUCAGACGCGAAAGCUAGGGGAGCGAACGG